rnacentral:lncRNA from 1 species
AUGUAUUAGGGGUAGUCGAUAUUUAAUCUUCUACUCUAGGUAUAUGUGCCAGAGUAGAAAAAGAUUCAUGAUGAAUUUGGAUUUAGUUUAACGACUUUACGGUCGUUUGAAUUUGGAUUUAGUUUAAUGAUGUUUCGGUCGUUUGAAUUUGAAAUUAGUUUAACGACUUUACGGUCGUAUGAAUUUGGAUUUAGUUUAACGACUUUAUGGUCGUUUGAUCUUAGGUUUAGUUUAACGACUUUACAGUCGUUUAGAUUUGAGAGGCUUUGGAUUUCAGGGUUUUAUUUGUGGACUUUAGGUUUUGGGCUUUAUUUAUGGGCUUUAGGUUUUGGGAUUUUAUUUGUGGACUUUAGGUUUUGGGAUUUUAUUUGUGGACUUUAG